GAUGAACGCUGGCGGCGUGCCUAAUACAUGCAAGUCGAGCGAACGGACGAGAAGCUUGCUUUUCUGAUGUUAGCGGCGGACGGGUGAGUAACACGUGGAUAACCUACCUAUAAGACUGGGAUAACUUCGGGAAACCGGAGCUAAUACCGGAUAAUAUUUUGAACCGCAUAGUUCAAAAGUGAAAGACGGUCUUGCUGUCACUUAUAGAUGGAUCCGCGCUGCAUUAGCUAGUUGGUAAGGUAACGGCUUACCAAGGCAACGAUGCAUAGCCGACCUGAGAGGGUGAUCGGCCACACUGGAACUGAGACACGGUCCAGACUCCUACGGGAGGCAGCAGUAGGGAAUCUUCCGCAAUGGGCGAAAGCCUGACGGAGCAACGCCGCGUGAGUGAUGAAGGUCUUCGGAUCGUAAAACUCUGUUAUUAAGGAAGAACAUAUGUGUAAGUAACUGUGCACAUCUUGACGGUACCUAAUCAGAAAGCCACGGCUAACUACGUG
rnacentral:rRNA from 1 species